rnacentral:rRNA from 1 species
AUUGAACGCUGGCGGCAUGCUUUACACAUGCAAGUCGAACGGUAACAGGCCGCAAGGUGCUGACGAGUGGCGAACGGUUGAGUAAUGCAUCGGAACGUGCCCAGUCUUGGGGGAUAACUACUCGAAAGAGUAGCUAAUACCGCAUACGAUCUAUGGAUGAAAGCGGGGGACCGUAAGGCCUCGCGCGAUUUGAUCUGCCGAUGUCAGAUUAGGUAGUUGGUUGGGUAAAGUCUCACCAAGCCAACGAUCUGUAGCUGGUCUGAGAGGACGACCAGCCACACUGGGACUGAGACACGGCCAAGACUACUAAGGGAGGCAGCAGUGGGGAAUUUUGGACAAUGGGCGCAAGACUGAUCCAGCAAUGCCGCGUGCAGGAAGAAGGCCUUCGGGUUGUAAACUGCUUUUGUACGGAAAGAAACGGCUCUGGUUAAUACCCGGGGCUAAUGACGGUACCGUAAGAAUAAGCACCGGCUAACUACGUG